rnacentral:misc_RNA from 1 species
GACUCCCCGACGCAGAAGCUAAACGAGCAGAGCCGAUCAACCGAUGAUAUCGAUGAAGACCUCCACAGCCGGCAGCUCGCGGUGUACGGCCGCGAGACCAUGCGACGGCUCUUUGCCUCCAACGUCCUCGUCUCGGGUCUCAAUGGACUCGGUGUCGAAAUAGCGAAGAAUCUUGUUCUUGCCGGUGUGAAAUCGGUCACCCUGCAUGAUCAGGCGACUGUGAGUCUUUGGGAUUUGUCUAGCAAUUUCU